UACGUAGGGGGCUAGCGUUAUCCGGAAUGAUUGGGCGUAAAGCGUCCGCAGGCGGCUAUGUAAGUCUGCUGUUAAAGAGUCUAGCUCAACUAGAUAAGAGCAGUGGAAACUACAAGGCUAGAGUACGUUCGGGGCAGAGGGAAUUCCUGGUGUAGCGGUGAAAUGCGUAGAGAUCAGGAAGAACACCAGUGGCGAAGGCGCUCUGCUAGGCCGUAACUGACACUGAGGGACGAAAGCUAGGGGAGCGAAUGGG
rnacentral:rRNA from 1 species